GUCCACACCGUAAACGAUGGAUACUAGGUGUUCGGGCUUCGGCCCUGAGUGCCCAAGGGAAACCGAUAAGUAUCCCACCUGGGGAGUACGUCCGCAAGGAUGAAACUCAAAGGAAUUGACGGGGCCCGCACAAGCGGUGGAGCAUGUGGUUUAAUUCGAUGAUACGCGAGAAACCUUACCUGGGCUAGAAUGCCCCUGACCGCCCGUGAAAGCGGGUUUUCCUUCGGGACAUGGUGCAAGGUGCUGCAUGGUUGUCGU
rnacentral:rRNA from 1 species